CCUAGGUCUCCCAAAUCAAACUCAAACUCAAGGCUUCUUUUUAUUAUUGUUAAUGGCACCCCCUAAGUUUUUUGCACCGUGUUGUAGGGAAAUAUGGCUGACCCAGGAGCGAGGAGACCAAGGUCCUAGUCUUCUCUUUGCCACUGACUUGACGUACCUCAGUUUCCCCAUCUGUACAACGGGAGAAGAGGUUAGAGAUACUGUGAUCUCGAAAAUCCAGGUCCUGGGGAGGGUCCAUGGUCAGAGGAUGUGGUCAGUGAGGGUCAAGUGAGAGCCUGCCAGGGCCCUUUAAUUCAAGGCCUGCUGGGUGAGGCGGGGCCAGCUGGCAGAUGGGGCUAGGUAAACCUCCAGACUGGACUUGGGCAGAGUGAGAGAAGGACAAAGCUUUACCCACUCAGUGUGGGGCCUUCACAUAAUCAGAAUGCCGCCGUAGCUGCCAAUUCACCUGUCAACAGAUAACAUUAGCUACACGUGGCCACUCGGGUCCAGAGAAUUCAUCCAUGAAUGCGCCAUGAAGGAGAAAGUGACUAGAAAUGGAAUCUUGUGGUCCUUUAGCUCAUGCAAUGCCUGUGACAGUCAGCUGCCUGGGCCUGAGAAACACCCACCUUCCCAGCAUUCCGGGUUUCUUUGGUGGCCAUCCUGUACACCUGAAACCUUGUACCCCAAGAGCCUGGAGGGAGAUAAAUAGGCCGUUGCUCCUGUCUCCUUACCCCCACCCCUUUUUGCAAAGAAGAAAGGAUCCAUUGCUAGAGACUGAAUGUUGUAAUCAAUGUGAAACUCAGAAGAGCAGCCAGGGUUUGCAGGAGAAGCCAAGG
rnacentral:lncRNA from 1 species